rnacentral:rRNA from 1 species
UACGAAGGGGGCUAGCGUUGUUCGGAUUUACUGGGCGUAAAGCGCACGUAGGCGGAUCGAUCAGUCAGGGGUGAAAUCCCAGAGCUCAACUCUGGAACUGCCUUUGAUACUGUCGAUCUGGAGUAUGGAAGAGGUGAGUGGAAUUCCGAGUGUAGAGGUGAAAUUCGUAGAUAUUCGGAGGAACACCAGUGGCGAAGGCGGCUCACU